rnacentral:rRNA from 1 species
AACGAACGCUGGCGGCAUGCCUAACACAUGCAAGUCGAACGAGACCUUCGGGUCUAGUGGCGCACGGGUGCGUAACGCGUGGGGACCUGCCCUUAGGUUCGGAAUAACUCCCCGAAAGGGGUGCUAAUACCGGAUAAUGUCUUCGGACCAAAGAUUUAUCGCCUUUGGAUGGGCCCGCGUUGGAUUAGCUAGUUGGUAGGGUAAAAGCCUACCAAGGCGACGAUCCAUAGCUGGUCUGAGAGGAUGAUCAGCCGCACUGGGACUGAGACACGGCCCAGACUCCUACGGGAGGCAGCAGUGGGGAAUAUUGGACAAUGGGCGAAAGCCUGAUCCAGCAAUGCCGCGUGAGUGAUGAAGGCCUUAGGGUUGUAAAGCUCUUUUACCCGGGAUGAUAAUGACAGUACCGGGAGAAUAAGCUCCGGCUAACUCCGUG